UACAAAGUCAAACAUGGCUACA
rnacentral:siRNA from 1 species